GAUGAACGCUGACAGAAUGCUUAACACAUGCAAGUCAACUUGAACUUCGGUUUGGUUGGCGGACGGGUGAGUCACGCGUAAAGAACUUUCCUCACAGAUAGGGACAACAUUUGUAAACGAAUGCUAAUACCUGAUAUUAUGAUUAUAUGGCAUCGUAUAUUUAUGAAAGCUAUAUUCGCUGUGGGGGAGCUUUUCGUCCAAUUAGCUAGUUGGAGAGGUUACGGCUCACCAUGGCGAUGAUGGGUAGCCGGCCUGGGAGGGUGAUGGGCCACAAGGGGACAGGGACACGGCCCGAACACAAAGGGGAGGAAGAAGUGGGGAAAAUUGGAAAAGGGACCAAGAGUGUGAUCGAGAAAUUCUGUGUGGAAGAUGAAGUUUUUCGGAAUGAAAAGAGCUUUCAGUUGGGAAGAAAAAAAUGACGGUAACAACAGAAGAAGUGACGGCUAAAUACGUG
rnacentral:rRNA from 1 species